rnacentral:rRNA from 1 species
UGGAGGCAGCAGUGGGGAAUUUUGCGCAAUGGGCGAAAGCCUGACGCAGCAACGCCGCGUGAGUGAUGAAGGCCCUCGGGUCGUAAAGCUCUGUCAGAGGGGAAGAACCGUCGUACGGAUAAUAACCGUGCGGCCUGACGGUACCCCCAAAGGAAGCACCGGCUAACUCCGUGCCAGCAGCCGCGGUAAUACGGAGGGUGCAAGCGUUGUUCGGAAUUAUUGGGCGUAAAGCGCGUGUAGGCGGUUGCUUAAGUCUGAUGUGAAAGCCCUGGGCCCAACCCGGGAAGUGCAUUGGAAACUGGGCAACUUGAGUACGGGAGAGGGUAGUGGAAUUCCGAGUGUAGGGGUGAAAUCCGUAGAUAUUCGGAGGAACACCGGUGGCGAAGGCGGCUACCUGGACCGAUACUGACGCUGAGACGCGAAAGCGUGGGGAGCAAACAGGAUUAGAAACCCUUGUAGUCC